rnacentral:rRNA from 1 species
GAGUUUGAUCUUGGCUCAGAUUGAACGCUGGCGGCAGGCCUAACACAUGCAAGUCGAGCGGAUGACGGGAGCUUGCUCCUUGAUUCAGCGGCGGACGGGUGAGUAAUGCCUAGGAAUCUGCCUGGUAGUGGGGGACGACGUUUCGAAAGGAACGCUAAUACCGCAUACGUCCUACGGGAGAAAGCAGGGGACCUUCGGGCCUUGCGCUAUCAGAUGAGCCUAGGUCGGAUUAGCUAGUUGGUGGGGUAAUGGCUCACCAAGGCGACGAUCCGUAACUGGUCUGAGAGGAUGAUCAGUCACACUGGAACUGAGACACGGUCCAGACUCCUACGGGAGGCAGCAGUGGGGAAUAUUGGACAAUGGGCGAAAGCCUGAUCCAGCCAUGCCGCGUGUGUGAAGAAGGUCUUCGGAUUGUAAAGCACUUUAAGUUGGGAGGAAGGGCAGUAAGUUAAUACCUUGCUGUUUUGACGUUACCGACAGAAUAAGCACCGGCUAACUCUGUGCCAGCAGCCG